rnacentral:lncRNA from 1 species
AAAGUUGGUGUGACUAUAAGCUGCUUCUUUUUUUUUUAAUUGAAUUAAAAUGAAAUAACAUCGAAUUAGCCACUUGAAAGUGAACAAUUCAGCGGCAUUUAGCACAUUCACAACGUUGUGCAACCAUCACAUCUAGUUCCGAGACAUUAUCGUCACCCCAAAAGGAAACCCUUACCUAUACAGCAGUCACUUCCCCUGUCCCCCCCGCUUCCUGUCUCUAUGGAUUUACCUAUUCUGGACAUUCAUAUAAAUGGAAUCAUACAACAUAUGGUUUUUUGUGUCUGGCUUCUUUACCUUGGCAUGAUGUUUCUGAGGUUCAUCCAUGUUGUAGUAUACAU